CAGGCGCGAAAACUUUACAAUGCCGGCAACGGCGAUAAGGGGACCUCGAGUGCCAGGUUACAAAUCUGGCUGUCGUGAUGCCUAAAAAGCAUUGCAUAGCAAGGGCCGGGCAAGACCGGUGCCAGCCGCCGCGGUAACACCGGCGGCUCGAGUGGUAACCGUUAUUAUUGGGUCUAAAGGGUCUGUAGCCGGCCGGAUAAGUCUCUUGGGAAAUCCAGCAGCUCAACUGUUGGGCUUUCAGGAGAUACUGUCUGGCUCGAGGCCGGGAGAGGUGAGAGGUACUUCAGGGGUAGGGGUGAAAUCUUGUAAUCCUUGAAGGACCACCAGUGGCGAAGGCGUCUCACCAGAACGGACCUGACGGCAAGGGACGAAAGCUAGGGGCACGAACCGGAUUAGA
rnacentral:rRNA from 1 species